AUGAAACAAAUGCAUCAUUUAUCACCAAGUGGUCAGAGCUUAGAGUUCAUCCCUUCAAGUCCUGUCACCAAAAAGCCCGGAGAAACUCUGAAUCUCUCAUCUGGAUUUGGAUCUGGAUUUGAUUUUGGACAGUACGGCAUGCACUGGAUCAGACAGUCAGCAGGACAAACAUUCAUCUGGAUGGGGGUUAUCUGGUAUGAUGCCAGUAAAACAGUGUAUGCUAAAAGUGUAGAGGGACGAAUAGAGAUCACUAGAGAUAAUUCAAACAGCAUGGUGUAUCUGAAACUCUCUGGUCUGACAACAGAAGAUACAGCUUUAUAUUACUGUGCAAGAAAUACACAAUGA